AGAAAAUAGAUACCCAGGUAGUCCACGCCGUAAACGAUGAGUACUAGGUGUAGGAGGUAUCGACUCCUUCUGUGCCGCAGUUAAACACAAUAAGUACUCCGCCUGGGAAGUACGGUCGCAAGAUUAAAACUCAAAGGAAUUGACGGGGGCCCGCACAAGCAGCGGAGCAUGUGGUUUAAUUCGAAGCAACGCGAAGAACCUUACCUAGACUUGACAUCCCCUGAAUAACGUAGAGAUACGCGAAGCCCUUCGGGGCAGGGAGACAGGUGGUGCAUGGUUGUCGUCAGCUCGUGUCGUGAGAUGUUGGGUUAAGUCCCGCAACGAGCGCAACCCUUAUCAUUAGUUGCUACCAUUUAGUUGAGCACUCUAGUGAGACUGCCCGGGUUAACCGGGAGGAAGGCGGGGAUGACGUCAAAUCAUCAUGCCCCUUAUGUCUAGGGCUACACACGUGCUACAAUGGUGAGAACAACGAGAUGCAAUACCGCGAGGUGGAGCAAAACUUCAGAACUCAUCUCAGUUCGGAUUGUAGGCUGAAAC
rnacentral:rRNA from 1 species